rnacentral:rRNA from 1 species
GAUGAACGCUGGCGGCGUGCCUAAUACAUGCAAGUCGAGCGAACAGAUGAGGAGCUUGCUCCUCUGACGUUAGCGGCGGACGGGUGAGUAACACGUGGAUAACCUACCUAUAAGACUGGGAUAACUUCGGGAAACCGGAGCUAAUACCGGAUAAUAUAUUGAACCGCAUGGUUCAAUAGUGAAAGACGGUUUUGCUGUCACUUAUAGAUGGAUCCGCGCCGCAUUAGCUAGUUGGUAAGGUAACGGCUUACCAAGGCAACGAUGCGUAGCCGACCUGAGAGGGGGAUCGGCCACACUGGAACUGGAAAACGGUCCGGACUCCUACGGGAGGCAGCAGUAGGGAAUCUUCCGCAAUGGGCGAAAGCCUGACGGAGCAACGCGGCGUGAGUGAGGAAGGUCUUCGGAUCGUAAAACUCUGUUAUUAGGGAAGAACAAAUGUGUAAGUAAAUAUGCACGUCUUGACGGUACCUAAUCAGAAAGCCACGGCUAACUACGUG